CCUACUGGAGGCAGCAGUGAGGAAUAUUGGUCAAUGGGCGCGCGCCUGAACCAGCCAAGUAGCGUGAAGGAUGACUGCCCUACGGGUUGUAAACUUCUUUUAUAAAGGAAUAAAGUGAGGCACGUGUGCCUUUUUGUAUGUACUUUAUGAAUAAGGAUCCGCUAACUCCGUGCCAGCAGCCGCGGUAAUACGGAGGAUCCGAGCGUUAUCCGGAUUUCGUGGGUUGAAAGGGAGCGUAGAUGGGUUGUUAAGUCAGUUGUGAAAGUUUGCGGCUCAACCGUAAAAUUGCAAUUGAUACUGGCAGCCUUGAGUACAGUUGAGGUAGGCGGAAUUCGUGGUGUAGCGGUGAAAUGCUUAGAUAUCACGAAGAACUCCGAUUGCGAAGGCAGCUUACUAAACUGCAACUGACAUUGAUGCUCGAAAGUGUGGGUAUCAAACAGGAUUAGAUACCCUAGUAGUC
rnacentral:rRNA from 1 species